AACGAACGCUGGCGGCAUGCCUAACGCAUGCAAGUCGAACGAGACCUUCGGGUCUAGUGGCGCACGGGUGCGUAACGCGUGGGAAUCUGCCCUUGGGUUCGGAAUAACAGUUGGAAACGACUGCUAAUACCGGAUGAUGACGUAAGUCCAAAGAUUUAUCGCCCAAGGAUGAGCCCGCGUAGGAUUAGCUAGUUGGUGAGGUAAAGGCUCACCAAGGCGACGAUCCUUAGCUGGUCUGAGAGGAUGAUCAGCCACACUGGGACUGAGACACGGCCCAGACUCCUACGGGAAGCAGCAGUGGGGAAUAUUGGACAAUGGGCGAAAGCCUGAUCCAGCAAUGCCGCGUGAGUGAUGAAGGCCUUAGGGUUGUAAAGCUCUUUUACCCGGGAUGAUAAUGACAGUACCGGGAGAAUAAGCUCCGGCUAACUCCGUG
rnacentral:rRNA from 1 species